rnacentral:rRNA from 1 species
AUAAUUGUCAGCUAAGUGGCGCACGGGUGAGUAAUGUAUAGAUAACCUGCCCUUAAGAAAGGAAUAACAGUUGGAAACGACUGCUAAUGCCCUAUAUGCCUUUAAUACAUAAGUAUGCAAGGGAAACGCUUUAGUGCUUAAGGAUGGGUCUGUAUGGUAUCAGCUUGUUGGUGAGGUAAUGGCUCACCAAGGCUAUGACGCCUAACUGGUUUGAGAGGAUGAUCAGUCACACUGGAACUGAGACACGGUCCAGACUCCUACGGGAGGCAGCAGUGGGGAAUAUUGCACAAUGGGGGAAACCCUGAUGCAGCACCGCCGCGUGGAGGAUGACACAUUUCGGUGCGUAAACUCCUUUUAUAUAGGAAGAUAAUGACGGUACUAUAUGAAUAAGCACCGGCUAACUCCGUGCCAGCAGCCGCGGUAAUACGGAGGGUGCAAGCGUUACUCGGAAUCACUGGGCGUAAAGAGCGUGUAGGCGGGUAUAUAAGUCAGAAGUGAAAUCCAAUAGCUCAACUAUUGAACUGCUUUUGAAACUGUAUACCUAGAAUGUGGGAGAGGUAGAUGGAAUUUCUGGUGUAGGGGUAAAAUCCGUAGAGAUCAGAAGGAAUACCGAUUGCGAAGGCGAUCUACUGGAACAUUAUUGACGCUGAGACGCGAAAGCGUGGGGAGCAAACAGGAUUAGAUACCCUGGUAGUCCACGCCCUAAACGAUGUACACUAGUUGUUGUGAGGCUCGACCUUGCAGUAAUGCAGUUAACACAUUAAGUGUACCGCCUGGGGAGUACGGUCGCAAGAUUAAAAC